rnacentral:rRNA from 1 species
UACGUAGGGUGCAAGCAUUAAUCGGAUUUAUUGGGCGUAAAGGGCGCGUAGGCGGGAAUAAAAGUCAGAUGUGAAAUCCCGGAGCUCAACUCCGGAACAGCAUUUGAAACUGCAUUUCUAGAGGGUAGGCGGAGAAAACGGAAUUCCACAAGUAGCGGUGAAAUGCGUAGAUAUGUGGAAGAACACCAGUGGCGAAGGCGGUUUUCUAGCUUACACCUGACGCUGAUGCGCGAAAGCAAGGGGAGCAAACAGG